AUUGAACGCUGGCGGCGUGCUUUACACAUGCAAGUCGGACGAGUGGCGAACGGGUGAGUAACGCAUCGGAACGUACCGAGUAAUGGGGGAUAACUGUCCGAAAGGACAGCUAAUACCGCAUAAUAUUCUAGCAGCGGAUGUCUGUUUAGCGGGUUGGCGGGGUAAAGGCCCACAAAGGCGACGCUCAGUAGCGGGUCUGAGAGGAUGAUCGGCCACACUGGGACUGAGCAACGGCCAAGACUCCUACGGUAGGCAGCAGUGGGGAAUGUUGGACAAUGGGCGCAAGCCUGAUCCAGCCAUGCCGCGUGUGUGAAGAAGUCCUUCGGGUUGUAAAGCACUUUCAGCGGGGAGGCGUUACCCGCAGAAGAAGCACCGGCUAACUCCGUGCCAGCAGCCGCGGUAAUUC
rnacentral:rRNA from 1 species